rnacentral:rRNA from 1 species
UACGAAGGGGGCUAGCGUUGUUCGGAAUCACUGGGCGUAAAGGGCGCGUAGGCGGCUUUGUAAGUCGGGGGUGAAAGCCUGUGGCUCAACCACAGAAUUGCCUUCGAUACUGCAUGGCUUGAGACCGGAAGAGGUAAGUGGAACUGCGAGUGUAGAGGUGAAAUUCGUAGAUAUUCGCAAGAACACCAGUGGCGAAGGCGAGUCCCUGGACAACACCUGACACUGAGGCACGAAAGCUAGGGGAGCAAACAGG